rnacentral:rRNA from 1 species
UUGGUCAAUGGCCGAAAGGCUGAACCAGUAACUUGGAAGAAUGAAAGUGUAUUAUAAUAAUACAAUAACGAUUAAGUCGUAUAAAAUUCUAAAUAGAAUAAUGAUAAUGACAAUUUUCUAUUUAUAAGUCUUGACCAAACUACGUGCCAGCAGUCGCGGUAAUACGUAGAAGACUAGUGUUAAUCAUCUUUAUUAGGUUUAAAGGGUACCUAGACGGUAAAUUAAACUCUAAAUGAGUACUUGUUUACUAGAGUUUUAUGUAAGGAGGAAGAAUUUCUGGAGUAGUGAUUUAAUAUGAAUAAUCUCAGAGAGACUGGUAACGGCGAAGGCAUCCUUCUAUGUAAAAACUGACGUUGAGGGACGAAGGCUUGGGUAGCGAGAAGGAUUAGAUACCCUAGUAGUCCAAGCAGACAAUGAUGAAUGUCAUAGACUAGAUAUAAAUUUAGUCUAUAAAUGAAAGUGUAAGCAUUCCACCUCAAGAGUAAUAUGGCAACAUAUAAACUGAAAGCAGGAGACCGUUUCUGAAACCAGUAGUGAAGUAU